AGGGUUUGAUUCUGGCUCAGGAUGAACGCUGGCGGCGUGCCUAACACAUGCAAGUCGAACGGAAUUUACAUGAAGCCUAGCGAUUGUAAAUUUAGUGGCGGACGGGUGAGUAACGCGUGGGUAACCUGCCUUGUACUGGGGGACAACAGUUGGAAACGACUGCUAAUACCGCAUAAGCGCACAGCUUCGCAUGAAGCAGUGUGAAAAACUCCGGUGGUACAAGAUGGACCCGCGUCUGAUUAGCUGGUUGGUGAGGUAACGGCCCACCAAGGCGACGAUCAGUAGCCGGCCUGAGAGGGUGAACGGCCACAUUGGGACUGAGACACGGCCCAA
rnacentral:rRNA from 1 species